rnacentral:tRNA from 1 species
GUCCCCAUCGUCUAGCCCGGCCCAGGACGCGGCCCUUUCAAGGCCGAAACACGGGUUCGAAUCCCGUUGGGGACGCCA